CCCGUGGCCCCCACAGAGGACCAGCUGCAGCGGGAGAUGUGGUAUCACGGCCGCAUGAGCCGCAGGGACGCAGAGAAUCUGCUGGGCCGAGAUGGAGAUUUUCUGGUGCGGGACAGCGCCACUAACCCGGGCCAGUAUGUGCUGACUGGGUUGCAGUGUGGGCUUCCCAAACAUCUGCUGUUGGUAGAUCCUGAAGGAGUGGUUCGGACUAAAGACAUGCUUUUCGAGAGCAUCAGCCACCUGAUCAACUACCACCUGACAAACAAGCUGCCGAUUGUUGCAGCAGAGAGCGAGUUACACCUCCAGCAGGUGGUCUGCAGAAAGAACUGACCUCCAUUUGAAGCCCAUAUAGAGUGCAUGGGUGCAUAGCAGUCACCUGUGCCGCCAAUCUAGAGGCCCCACACUAUUGCCUUAAACAGAUUCUGAGCUUCCACUGGGACUUGUGGGAUAUCGCUGUUCCUUCAGCACUGACCACAAACAGCUUUCAGCAUGUCUUGCUCAAUCAACUCCUUUUUCAACAGAGAAGACCCUAACUGAGAGUUUGGCAUUGGGAAAUAAAGUGAUUGUGAUCACUGAGUUUCCCAGCUGAUUGUUCUUGGCAUUGCCGGAAAUGUGAACUUAGGAGAAACACAUGAGACAAACCAUCUUAUCCUUUACAUCCAUACGAGCGCUCGUCGUCAGUGAGCUGUUGUUCCUAAAUGUGAUGUAUUGAGUAACCGUGGCUCUGAUCUUCUCUGAUGGUCACCUCUGAGACUUUGGACAUCAUCGUGUUGUGCAUAUCAGCGGUUUGCUCUCAGGAUGCAGUAUUUGUUAAGGACGUUAUAUAAAGCUCAUAAGCUCAGUCGCACUAAUGCAGUCGUGUCAAAUGCACAUGUUUAAUUUAUGAACUCAGGACCAAAUGUUUGGGUCGUUCUCAUGUGAUAUUGCCCUUUUUUAAACUUAGUGAUUCAGACAUGCAUCAUACUUCACAAAUAUUCAAUUUCUCUUCUGUGUUUAGUCGCAAACAAAUGCCCACAAUGUGCACAGUUUCGUUUAAAGGUGCAUUCAGUAAUUUGGUGCCAAUAAAAAAAAAUUAAAAAUUAAAAUAAAAGCAGUCACAU